CCACCCCAGCCUCACCAGGUCAGGAGCCCAGAGAGAGUCCUGUCUGGAGAGGAUCUACUCAGGCAGACCAGCCUAAGGACUCACAGACAGCAUCCUUACUUCCUCUCCCAGAAUGAGAGCUCAGCCCAGACAAGAAAGGUAGCCCUGUGGAGGUGGAAAAGGCCCCAGGGCUGCUCUGGUCAGCCUCCGAAUGCAGACUUUGAAAAGCACAGCAGAGGGGCCGUGGCCCGCAUAUUGAUCGCUCACUCGCUUCCUCUGUCACCGAGUCACUCACCAAUCAGGCAGGACACCUUCCAGCCACCAGGUUCCAGAUGCCAUCAGGAUGCCGGCAGACUUCCCUGGACUGAAGACCCCACCAAUGUGUCCUAGAGCUCUGCUUCACCAGAGACCCACCCUACUAGGGAAAGAGAGAGGCAGACUGGGAGUAUGGAUCCACCAGUCAACGUCCAUGUUCAGUGGGGAAGC